ACCAGGAUGUAGCAAUGGAGUUCAGGGGAUUUCUAUUUUUUGUCUUUUUGCAUCAAACAAGUGCCGUUCUGGAACUGACUGCUGUUCCUCAGAGUGCUAACGUAGGAGCCAAUAUCCUCAUCCCUUGCACCUUCAGCAUGGAUAAGCUCCCUAUAAACCCUGAAUUACUUGCAAUAGUUUGGUACUUUCAAGGAAAGGAAAUCUUGAAAUACGAUACUGUUCUGAGAACAUCACAUCCUAGGGCAUCCUUAAACACAAGCAUGACAAAAGAAGGGGUAGCGUCUCUGUCACUUUCCAACCUAAAGAUAUCUGAUAGUGGAAUCUACAAGUGUUUAGUGUUUUAUAGUCAAGAAAAUAAGGAGAAGGAAGUCUUGGUUGAAGCCUAUGCUACCCCAACAAUCACUAUUACAAAUAAUGUUGUUGAAAAGAAUAAGGAGAGCGUUCUUAAAAGCACUAUCACCGGCUUCUAUCCAAUCGACAUUGACAUUAAAUGGCUCAGUGAAAAAGAGGUACUGAAGUCUGUUCAUUACACACCUCAGAGAAAUUCUGAUGGGACUUACUCACUGAAAAGCUCUGUCACAAUAACACCGACUGAUGAAAAUGAAAAUCAGACCUACUCAAUUAGAGUCGUACAUGCCUCUCUCCAAGAACCUCUUCAGAAAGAUUUCCGACUUGACUAUGAAGCAAACAAAAUAUUUCCAGGAAACAAAACAUAUCAAACAACUUUAAUAGCUGUUUUUGUGGUCAUUAUUUUUCUUUUGCUGAUUGUGAUUCCUGUCAUCAUCGUGUGCAAGCGAAAAAGCAAGAAUAAAGGUCCUAAAGCGCCAGAAGUAGACGAUAUAGAAAAACACAUGCUGGGAAAGAGUUCAGAAGCUGAGUAUCAGUGUAAAUGCUACAACUAUUUCCCAGAUGAUCUGCAAGUCACAUGGUAUCAAAAAGAGGAAGGAGGCGACUAUGUUCCUGUGGACAAAACAAAAUGCAAUAUUCCAGUUCUCCCACAAGUAAAGCAGCCUGAUGGCACUUAUACCUGUACUGCAAGAUUAAUCACUUCCUCACAGAACUCAGAGAGCGGACUUAAAUUUAUGUGCAAAGUGGAACAUUCUACUCUGAAAAUGUCAAUUAUAAGAAGGGAAAGAUAAGUUUAAAUGAUACAUGAGGACAUAAAACCUGAUUCUCAAUAUGACAAUCACACACUGUAAAACAUACUGGUCACUGUUAAAUGAAAGUUGGCAGCCAAGAAUGUAUUACAUAAUAUGCAA